UAAUUGGAAAAGGCUCUGCUGAACUUGGGAAAAGAUACAGAUCUGAUUUUAGCAAGAAACGAAUGAAUAACCAUGGCAUGGCUCCACAAAUGUACUCUGUUCAGUCCAUAUUUAGGGCCCUUCUACUACGUUAAUGUGUAUGUCUUUUAUCGGCCGAAAAUUGUGAAAAUUUCACGAUAAAGUUAGGCCUAAUCCCCAGUCAGCUUGUCUACGUGGCCGGGGCGACUGUCAUCCAUUCACAUUUGAGAAGACUUCUCAAGGGCCCAAUUAUCAUGCCAUGCUGCCAACUAGUCGUCCAUAAGACUGCACAUGGCAAGCCUUUCUGUCUACCAACCAGCCAGUAAUCUUGAACCAAGACAUGCUAGAAAAACCAGCAAAUAGCCAGUCAUCGGCAGGCUUUAAAGGGUGCACUAACCGUGCACUGGACUAGCACAGAGAAGAUGUUCAAGAAAGAAAUCCACAUAUUGCAGCGUGCCACACGAAGUUUCACUUUUUCAAACAUGCUGAGGUGCCAGUAAAAAAGGAGUGGAAUUUUCUCUCUGCACGUUGAAUUUCUGUGCUGUCCUCUUUCACGGCAAAGGCAACACUAAAAGUACCUUCUCAACGUUUACAUGCUAACGAGGUUCUGCGUGGCAGUCAUUAUUCUGAUUGUUAUCGGCUUUUCUCAAGUUGUCCUUGUACUUUACACGUAGAGGAAACUCCACAUAGAAUGAAAUAAAGAAUGGAGACAGUAGCUCUUCUAAACCCCAGCAACAAGCACUAACAGAUUAAGGUCACCAGACAAGGAAGCGUUUUCGGCCAGUUGGUUCGUGUCACUGAGACCUCUACAUUGAACAUAAGAUGUCCCCAGUAGCUACGUCAGUGCCUGUUUGGGCCUUUCUGUUUGACGACAAGAAGCUUUCAGGUCAUGCAGACAUCUAGGAGGACGAAGGAGCAGGAAAGGACUCGAACUUAACUGCAACUCAUUUCUAAUUAAACAAAAUGAACAAAUUAAUGUUACAUUAGCUGAAUCUUUCAAUUUCUAAUAAUAUCAGUUAAAUAAGUCAAAGGGAAUCAUGAGACAUACUUUUUCUGCACUAUGCACAAGUAUCGAUUUUUUUUUAACGGAAAGAAUUUAAUAUUAUCAAUUGUUGGUUUACAUGUCAAUCUUAAAUCCUGGGAAAGGUAAUCCGUGCCUAGCUUUAAAUUUGAAAAUUUGCUCGGAAAGAAUUCCACACUUGCCUCUGUGAACAUUUAGCCUCACCAACAAUUUUUUUAAACGACGUCUGUUAUUUUUAAGGUUUUAGAAGGGACAGGUUUUUUUAAGGUAAUGAAACUCAGAAGUUGGGAUACUGGCGUCUUUCCAUUUUCUUUAAACUCGAAACCAUUUUACUGGCACUUGCAGCUCCAUUGAAUAAGGAGGGCAAACUCAAUUUGAGAUUAAUUGGCCGAAAUCAGAAAGCUUGUCAGGGAAUGCCAUUUAUCUGCAGUAGUAUUUCACAGGGGCCAAGUCCAGUGCAAUUUUUGCUUCAGCAAUAAAAUGAGGCAAAGACUCAAAGAUAUGCAGCCUUCUUCCCUUUUUUGUAGCUUUUUGAGAAUGGAUGCAGUACACUGAUUAUUGAAUGGGUCGGUCUGUUUGAGUAAACGGUAAAUAUUAAAUUCCACACACGGACGCUGCUUGACACCCUGUACACGAAA